GCAUGAAGAGAGCCCCAUUAGCAGCUGAGGAGUUUUGCAGCCCUGGACACUUCUGAAGGACAAACAGUCAAGUAAGAGAAUCUUACGUUCUUGAAAGGAUGUGAAGAGCAUCUGAAACCUGCUGUUACGGCUACCCUCGUCUGCCCACAUGCGGAUCACCCCAAGGCCUGUGCGCAGCAUGACGUCAUUAGCCACUGUGCUGCAGAACUUGGCCUUCAAAUCCUCCACGGAGCUGCUUCCGUCAUAGACCGCCACAAAGUUUCUUUUGCACUCAUUUGAAUUCUGCAUCUCAUAGUCCAAGAAACGGACACACUCUGACUCUGCCAAUGUGCAUUCUGAACCAUAAGUGAUGGAUUCCAGCAAGAACCAGACUACAAGAACUUGUUUGUUCAUCUGUCCAUCCAUUCAGCAACAGCCACAGCUGGUGUUUUAGUUGGUUGCAGCCAUAAUGGUGCAUAAUGGUGCAUAAUGGUGCGUUGUGCAAACAAUAGCAAGGAAUGGAAGGAAGCAUGGAAAACAUGUAUUAAUUAAAUCAUUACACCAACAUAGAAUGUGAAACUAGAGGAACAAUGUAAAGUGAAAGUAAGUGAAGCAAUGAGUAGAGAUGCAAGAAGAAUGAUAUCUGAAUAAGACAAGCCUCCUUUGACACAUCAAUUGUUAAUAUUUUAUUUUCUAAUCAUACACAUAUAGGCUUUUUCCUUUAAGUUUUGUUUACUUCACCUAGCACGCACACAAGCUAAAGGUAUCCAUUUAUUUUAAGUUUACUUUUGCCUUUCUACAUGCGUUUUCUCUAAAAGUAUUAUUUCAAAAACUGUAAAUAAAUCAGAAUUGUUUUUCCAGAUCUGUAAAUGUCUACCCUGAUCAUAAUUUCAGCAUUUUAGCUAAUACAAAUAUAUUAAUUUCCUUCAAUGUUAUUAUAAAAUAGGCAUUGGUCCCUGUAGCUUCUCUUACAAGUCAAUUGUAUGCCCUGUCUCAUGAAACAGUAUAUUUUAACAAUCUUCUCAAUAGCCUGUGUGUCUGUCAGGUUCAGUUUCUACAAUGUGGCUCAAUUCCCAACCCAGGUAAAAUUAACAUGUUCAAGUACAAAAUCAAUGAUCUUAGACCUUUAACCCAAAUUGUCAUGUGAGGUGAAGUACAAUCAUUGAGAAACCUUCUUCCCCCUCUAUCCCCUUCCCUCUUUCUGCCCCUCCCUUUCCUUCUCUUCUCUUCCCUUCCAUCCCUUCCUUUCCCUACCUCUCCCAAUUUUUUUUUUGUCUCUAGUAAUCCAAGCUUUCUUCUUCAUCAGCAGGCUUUCCUUUGAAGGAAGUGGUCCCUAAUGUCUGUUGCAACUUCUUCUGAAUAUGUCAAGGUCUAGUUCAAUUAUUACAUUCCAAAGAAACAACUUCCCCACUUGACUGACUUCCUAACUCUAGUAGCAUUUUCUAUUAUAGCCUCCAUGUUCGAUUUCAAUUGAACAUACUUUAAGUUAGAGUCCCUGUGGUGCUUCCCGUCGAUUUAACUAACUAGAACUCCCAUUUCCUUUAUUAAUUUCAUUUGUUCAUUGUUCAUCAUAUAUUUAUUGGCUAUCCAUAAAUCCAAUGUGGUUUUUAGGUGCUAUAAAUAAUAAUUAUGGACAC
rnacentral:lncRNA from 1 species